ACGAACGUUGGCGGCGUGGAUUAGGCAUGCAAGUCGAGCGAACUUCGUGGGGGCAACUCUGCGGAGUGAGCGGCGAAAGGGGCAGUAAGGCGUGGGCAACGUACCCCUCGGAUCGGGACAGCCGCGGGAAACUGCGGGUAAUACCGGGUAACGUGGACUGGGGGCAUCUCCGGUCCAUCAGAGGUCCGCCGCCGGGGGAGCGGCUCACGUGGUAUUAGCUAGUUGGUAGGGUAAUGGCCUACCAAGGCUUAGAUGCCUAGCUGGUGUGAGAGCACGACCAGCGCCACUGGCACUGAGACACUGGCCAGACACCUACGGGUGGCUGCAGUCGAGGAUUUUCGGCAAUGGGCGCAAGCCUGACCGAGCGACGCCGCGUGCGGGAUGAAGGCCUUCGGGUUGUAAACCGCUGUCGAGGGGGAGGAAAGCCGUAAGGUUUGACCUAUCCCUGGAGGAAGCACGGGCUAAGUUCGU
rnacentral:rRNA from 1 species